rnacentral:snoRNA from 1 species
GUUGGGCAAAUGAUGAAACGAAACAAAUGGGUAAUUUGCGGCUGAAUUUAUAUUGAUGCCAUCACCUUGGAGACCUGAUGCCCAUC